rnacentral:rRNA from 1 species
CACGUAGGGCGCAAGCGUUGUCCGGAAUUAUUGGGCGUAAAGAGCUCGUAGGCGGUCUGUUGCGUCCGCUGUGAAAACUCGGGGCUUAACCCCGAGCCUGCAGUGGAUACGGGCAGACUAGAGGUAGGUAGGGGAGAAUGGAAUUCCCGGUGUAGCGGUGAAAUGCGUAGAUAUCUGGAGGAACACCGGUGGCGAAGGCGGCAUUCUGGACCGAAACUGACGCUGAGGCGCGAAAGCCAGGGGAGCAAACGGG